AUGAGGGGGGGCAAGGGGUUUAACUGUUAUGCUGUUAUGGGGCAUUUUAAUUCUUUGUUAUCUGUUAUUCUGAAAAUAUAUUUACUGUUAGCUGUUAUUGUCUUAUUCUUUGUUAGCUGUUAUAUGACUAUUAUCUAUUUUGUUAUCUGUUAUUGUGAGAAUCUAUUUGCUGUUAACUGUUAUUGAAAAUUGGAAUGUUAGCAUUUUGACAGCCAAUCUUCCGUAGAAAUUGAAGAUUAUUGAAAAUUGUGAUUUGAAUGGAUAAUAGUCUCAUUGACACGCUUACCACAUCUUCUUACAAUGUAUAUCUAUUGGGGUCUUUCUACUGGUAUUAUAGGGUGGCCCUGUAUUUGCAGAAGAAUUUCAGUAACAUACAUCACAUAAACAUAUAAAAUCAAUUGGACCCAGGACCAUUCCAGUAUAUAUUAUUAUUAUCUUUUGUAAUAAAUUCCAUUGUCUGUGAACAUGUAGCAUUUUGUACAAAUUAUAAUUCACUUAUUACUUGUACAAUAACUCAUAGUAUGGAUUUUGUUAUAAAAAAAGCAUUGGUACACCCUAUAGAUUUUUUUAUUCAAUGACCACAUAAUAAUCUUUAUGUUGUACUAUUACACCACUGUCCCUGAUUAGGGGAGGAUUAGACAC
rnacentral:lncRNA from 1 species